UACAGAGGGGGCAAGCGUUAUUCGGAAUUAUUGGGCGUAAAGGGCGCGUAGGCGGCCUGGCAAGUGGAAGGUGAAAUCCCUCGGCUUAACCGAGGAACUGCCUCCCAAACUGCUUGGCUUGAGACCGGGAGAGGUGAGUGGAAUUCCCAGUGUAGCGGUGAAAUGCGUAGAUAUCGUAAGGAAGACCAGUGGCGAAGGCGAAUCUCUGGACAGUUACUGACACUGAGGCUCGAAGGCCAGGGGAGCAAACGGG
rnacentral:rRNA from 1 species